AUCCCAGUUGCCUCUUACCUUGCUCCCUUUUCUCAGUUGUCCCCUAGGGGCCUUUGUAUGAUGCUGCUGUGAGAAAUUGAAUUUGAGUCAUUAGAGGUAACUUCAAUUAGCAGCUCCGGGAUAAUGGCUGUGCACCCGGGAGCUGUAGCCAUAGUCAGAUCGGUAAGAGAGCCAGCUUUCUGCUGAUAGAGCAGGUGGAAAGCUAAGAGCAUAGGCACGUGCUCACUGAGGUGUACACUUGUUCUUUGCCCUUAGGUUGAGUUUGGAGGCUUUAAUCAGAACUGUGGAAAUGCUUCAGAUUUAGCCCCCCAGAAGCAGAGGACCAAGCCAUUGAUUCCAGAAAUGUGCUUCACUUCGACUGGCUGCAGCACGGACAUCAACCUUUCUACUCCUUAUCUUGAGGAGGAUGGCACCAGCAUACUCGUUUCCUGCAAGAAGUGCAGCGUCCGGGUCCAUGCCAGUUGCUAUGGGGUUCCCCCUGCAAAGGCUUCUGAAGACUGGAUGUGUUCUCGGUGUUCAGCCAAUGCCCUAGAGGAGGACUGCUGUUUAUGCUCAUUACG
rnacentral:sRNA from 1 species